rnacentral:lncRNA from 1 species
GGGGCUACAAGGGAUCCAUGGAAAGAGCAUUCCCAGAAGCGGGGCCAGGGCAGUGCGCACAGUGAGGAGAGCAGGUGUGUGUGAGGUUGAAACAAAACGUUCAAAGCCCCCUCGGAAGCCCAUCCACAGGUGUGUGACUGUGAACCGCAUCGUAAUCUCCUAGAAAGCAAGAACAUCAGGCUUACAUUUUCCACUUGCCUCUCACGGCUCAGAGCUCUGCAGUAUAUACAUUGAGGAAACUGGGCCCUGAGACAUUAACUUGCCCAAAAGAUCACAGUGGGCAACAUUCUAGAGCACAGUGGAAGCCGACAGCAAUGUCAGUGAAGAUGGAAAACAGAACGUGGAGAGAGAUGUAGCUUACUAGAGCCCUGUGGCUUCAAUCCCCACCAGGAAUGUCGUUUAAGAGGAAGGUGAUCUAGCACAAAUUCACAUUUGCUUGAGGAAGAAUACAAAUGACAUAUCACACACCAACCGUGUGCAAAGCACUCUACCUAAAGAUCAGCGCUAACAGAGGAAUAAGCAGAGGCCUCCAGGAGCAAAGAGUGAAAAGUCUCCCAAGGAUUCAAGUACGGGGGAAGUGGGUGGAGCUUUCACCGUAGAAUCUUUCCUGGAGAAAAAGCAAAGAGUGGGACAACAAUGAAGGCAUUAAAAAUAACUGUCAAGUUGAAGAAAAAAUCUGAAGUUUAUCAAUACAUGAUCUCCUCAAAAACGAAAGGAAUAAAACAAGUAUCUGCAAUUUGCUGAGAACUUAAUAUGUGUCAGUUGCCUGCAAAACUCAUCAUUCUUUAGACUUUCAAAUACAUCUGUGAGGACGGUAUUGUUGUUUCCACUUACACAUGAGAAGGCAAGAGACAAGCCCACGGUCACCCAGCUGGUAUUUUGCCAAAGACUAAGGAUUCGGAGAUGACUACGGAAAGGAAAACUAAGCUCCAUGAGAAGAGGGGACUUGCCCAUGUGGCUCAGGGCUCUAUGCCCAGUGCCCUAGACAGUGCCUGACUGUGUGUGCGGAAUGAAUGAAUAACCUUGGUGAUCCACCCAAUGGCACUGGCGCUCAGUGACCUCAUCUGAAAUGGAAUAAGGAUUUUAUGAAAAUGCAUGUUUGUUGAAUAACACAAAGGAGAAUAUUAUCUAAUGUGGCUUGGGGUCAAUAUCAAGCAGUAAUAUUGUUUUAGUAUUAAUUAGAGCCGUGUCAUUGCA